AUGAUUAAAAAGGAUUAAUUACGGAAAUGAAUUCUAAUCCAAAAUGUUACAAAUAAUUCCCAAAGUUACAUAAUUAUCCAAAGGCUAAUACAUUAUCCAAUACAUUCCAAAAGUCCAAAGUACAUCUUAAAUGACUAAUUUUGAAAAUUAAAAGUAGUUGCAUUGUUCAACAGUGUCAAGACGGAAUUUCCAAAAAAGCCAGCGGCCAAAGUCAUCUCUUGGGCCAAAGCACUCUAAAAAUCCCAACCUCUUCUUAGAACCAACAGACAUCCGCUCCCUUUUCCUCAAUUGAUUUUGUGACCUGCGAAGGAAGUGACAAUCUAAGUUAAAAGCUUUUUCAAUAAGCGCUUAAAAACUGAAGGAUAAUUAACAAAAUGCUCAGGUUAAUGUUUUGCCUAAAAGACUACCACGAACACCCAAGAAUGUGUUUCGUUAACUAGUUCAAACAACAAUGAAACCACAAAACAACAAUCCCAUGAAAUUUGAGGAUAAGAAAAAAGAAACCUAACAAGUUAUCUCAAGACUGAAUAAAUUCAUCAUGAAAAGAACAUAAAUACCCAGAAUAAAGGACAUUGAAGAGGACAGUGAAUCAAGAAACGAAAAAGAAAUCAAAAUAAUCUUUCAUCAACACAACCAUCUAAAGGCGCUCAAAGUUAAAAAAGAACAGAGUAAGACGAAGGGAAUUGGAUUAUUAGAAAGGAACUUAUCUGGAAACGACCGCGGAGAAGACGUCGUCAGCGACCCACUUCCGGUCAAGUACUUCUUCUUUCUCCUUCGCUUUAAAUAUUUGCACCACCUUGUUCGUCUUGAUAAGCCGACAAAAACCCCCAUGUCAAUUGCUUAAAAUCUCCGUCGUUGUGGCUUCAUUUGUAGACUUAGGGUUUUGACUCUGAAUGUUGGUGUAUAUUUUCUUUUGUGUUUGUUUUGGCUUGAGGAGAAGAUUUAUGUGGUUUGGUUUGAAAAGAACUCUGUUUAGAUUUUUGUGUAUGGUUAGGGUUUUCCGAUCCAAGGCUUUAGGUUAACCUUUUGGUGUUUUCGUGAUCGGAUCUGUGAUCGCGAGGUUAGAAUAGGUAGGGUUAGUGUUUGGAAUUUAAGCUCUGAGGUAGAGGUUCGCCGGAGAAGAAGGCGGCGCCGCCGCUGUUGGCCGGCCGCCACCGUCUUCUCCGGUGGGAUUUGGCUGUGGGUUGGGUCGGAAGUUGCAGAGCACAUUGUUGCUCUGGGUUAGAGAGAGAGACGAUUUGUUGCUCAUGUAGGAAUGGUAUUUGCUCACAUUGCUUUAAUUUUUAUUAGUUAUUUAUUUCUAAGUUGUGAUGUUGUGUGUUGGGAAGAGGGAAUGACAAGUGUGUCAUUGGGUAAUGUAAUACAUCUUUAUACUUUCAGUUUUGAUUCCAUGUGCGUUUAAAAUCUAUGGCUACUUUAAUUCUUUUGU